rnacentral:tRNA from 1 species
ACUAAAAUCCGUCGAUUUUAAAAAUCGUGAGGGUUCAAGUC